GAACGGUCCGGCGAGUUACGCUGGCUGGCGAGGUUAAGGGCUGAAGGCCUGGAGCCGAAGGGAAACCAAGUCUGAACAGGGCGAAAUAGUCAGUCGGAGUAGACCCGAAACCGGGUGAUCUAUCCAUGUCCAGGUUGAAGUUGCCGUAAAAGGCAAUGGAGGACCGAACCCACAUCCGUUGAAAAGGGUGGGGAUGAGGUGUGGAUAGGGGAGAAAUUCCAAUCGAACCCGGAGAUAGCUGGUUCUCCUCGAAAUAGCUUUAGGGCUAGCCUCAUGCAAGUCUUACGGAGGUAGAGCACUGAAUUCCUAAGGGGGCGUCAAAGCUUACCAAGGGAUAUCAAACUCCGAAUGCCGUGUAGAUGGUGCAUGGGAGUCAGACUAUCCGAGAUAAGUUGGGUAGUCAAAAGGGAAAGAGCCCAGACCUACAGCUAAGGUCCCAAAAUGUGUGUUAAGUGGAAAAGGAUGUGGGAUUUCGAAGACAACUAGGAUGUUGGCUUAGAAGCAGCCAUCCAUUAAAAGAGUGCGUAAUAGCUCACUAGUCGAGAGGUCCUGCGCCGAAAAUGUCCGGGGCUGAAACACACUACCGAAGCUUAGGAAUUGAUGAAUGUCAAUUGGUAGAGGAGCAUUCUUACCGAGACGAAGCUGUACCGGAAGGAGCAGUGGAUUGGUAAGAAGAGAGAAUGCCGGAAUGAGUAGCGAGAGGAAGGUGAGAAUCCUUCCGGCCGAAUAUCUAAGGUUUCCAGAGUAAAGCUGAUCUGCUCUGGGUAAGUCGGGGCCUAAGGCGAGGUCGAAAGACGUAGUCGAUGGAUAACAGGUAAAGAUUCCUGUACUAUAUCAUAACAGAACUGUGGGGACGCAGACAGAGAGCAUAAGCCGGGAAUGGAAAAACCGGUACAAGCGAGGUAGGAGUGCAUCAGGCAAAUCCGGUGUACAAUCUGAAGACGUGAUGUGGGGCGUAAAGCCGGAAGUAUGUGAGCUGGCUGCCAAGAAAAGCCGCUAUUGUUUAUGAUAUACCCGUACCGUAAACCGACACAGGUGGAUGAGGAGAGAAUCCUAAGGCCGACGGGAGAAGCAUUGUUAAGGAACUCGGCAAAAUGACUCCGUAACUUCGGGAGAAGGAGUGCCAUGUAAAAGUGGCCGCAGAGAAUUGGCCCAAGCAACUGUUUAGCAAAAACACAGGUCUAUGCAAAACCGAAAGGUGAGGUAUAUGGGCUGACGCCUGCCCGGUGCUGGAAGGUUAAGGGGAGAGGUUAGCCGUAAGGCGAAGCUUUGAACUUAAGCCCCAGUAAACGGCGGCCGUAACUAUAACGGUCCUAAGGUAGCGAAAUUCCUUGUCGGGUAAGUUCCGACCCGCACGAAAGGCGUAAUGAUUUGAGCACUGUCUCGACAAUACAUCCGGUGAAAUUGAAGUACCAGUGAAGAUGCUGGUUACCCGCGCCAGGACGGAAAGACCCCAUGGAGCUUUACUCCAGUUUGGUACUGGGAUUCGGUACUGCACGUACAGGAUAGGUGGGAGACUUUGAAACUUGAACGCCAGUUUGAGUGGAGUCGCUGUUGGGAUACCACCCCUGCAGUAUUGGAUUUCUAACCAGUCACCGUGAUCCGGUGAUGGGACAAUGCCAGGCGGGGAGUUUGACUGGGGCGGUCGCCUCCGAAAGGGUAUCGGAGGCGCUCAAAGGUUCCCUCAGAAUGGUUGGAAACCAUUCGAAGAGUGCAAAGGCAGAAGGGAGCUUGACUGCGACACCGACGGGUGGAGCAGGUACGAAAGUAGGACUUAGUGAUCCGGUGGUAUAAAGUGGGAUUGCCAUCGCUCAACGGAUAAAAGCUACCCUGGGGAUAACAGGCUUAUCACUCCCAAGAGUUCACAUCGACGGAGUGGUUUGGCACCUCGAUGUCGGCUCAUCGCAUCCUGGGGCUGAAGUAGGUCCCAAGGGUUGGGCUGUUCGCCCAUUAAAGCGGUACGCGAGCUGGGUUCAGAACGUCGUGAGACAGUUCGGUCCCUAUCCGGCGUGGGCGUAGGAUAUUUGAGAGGAGCUGCCCUUAGUACGAGAGGACCGGGGUGGACUGGCCGCUGGUGGAUCUGUUGUAUUACCAAAUGCAUAGCAGAGUAGCCAAGCCGGGACGGGAUAAACGCUGAAGGCAUCUAAGCGUGAAGCCCCCCUCAAGAUGAGAUAUCCCAUAACGUCAAGUUAGUAAGACCCCUUGAAGACGACGAGGUAGAUAGGGCAGAGGUGGAAGUGUGGUAACACAUGGAGCUGACUGUUACUAAUAGGUCGAGGGCAUAACCAA
rnacentral:rRNA from 1 species